rnacentral:misc_RNA from 1 species
AGAAAGUCAAGAAAAUCAAGAAAAUCAAGAAAACCAAGAAAAUCAAGAUAAUCAAGAUAAUCAAGAAAGUCUAGAGAAUCAAGUAAAAUUAGACAAUCAUCAAAAGUCCGGGUCUCAAAAUACUCAAAGAAAUAGAUUUGAUCCAGAUUUUCAGUUUGAAGAAGACCAGAGCGUUGUGUCUGCCCAGAUCGUUCCUCCAAAAGAAGGCGCCAUUUUUAGACAAGAUGCUGCAGUUCUGGAGCAAAAUGUCAAAGAUUUGAAUCAAGAUGGCGACGUUUUCAAUCAAGAUGGAGUCUCUUUGGAACAAGAAUGUGGUGAAAGUGAUCCACAGUCGCCAAACGAUAUUACAACUACUUAUAACUCUAAACCAGAAUCCCCAGAAUUACAGGACUUUAAGAAUCUCAAGAUUAGUAAUGUAUCUACACCUGUACACUCCAUCAAGGAUAUUCCUGAUAUUAGCAAAAGAGAUUUAUCCAACGAUACUAAUCUCUCUCAAGAUAUUAAUGACAUAAACCCACGUGAAAUAUCCAGUAGUGCACCAAAUCCAACCGUAUUUCUGGAACCGCAACGCAAUCUACUGCAACCAAUUCAUGAUAGAACAAUAUAUGGGGAUAUGAGCGAGUAUUCAGAUUCGUCCCAACUGGAUCCUAAUGUGACAGUGUUUGAUGAGAACAAGGAUAUAGGAAGACAAUACAAUAGAUCAGUUUCGGAGCCACCUGUGCGACCAACACUCCUUGAAGGAUUGGUAAUUGGCCAGCCAUGUGAACCGGAAGUCGGAAUUGUCAGACCGGAAGUUGUCGAGGAGAAACAUGGGGGAGGGGAAGAGAAAGACAGAUUGGGUCCCUUGCUCGGGUCUAAUCAGAGCUUGGCUAGUCAGGAUUCCAGGCACAGCAGAAUGAGUCCGAAUCUGCUUAGAGCUCCAAUGGUCAGAGGAGGGAGGCAGAGUACAGAGAGUUUGCAAGGCUCUGGAGCAUCACCGAACCUUGGGAAGUUCGGCUCCACAGAGUUCAUAUUCUCCGUAAACAAACACAAGAAGGUUGAUCUUGGAAACUUUAAAAGAUUAUCCCAAGGAGAUGAGCUUGAAACUGGAGAUUCCAACGUGUUGAGAAAAGCAGCUUCAUUGGCACAGGUUGACCAGGGGAUAAGGAGUCCUAGUCAGAAGCAGGGAAAAGAUCGAACCAUCUCUCUCUCGGAGAAGGAAAGAAAGUUUUCCCUCCCAGAGAAGGAACGGAUAUUGGAGGAGAGGAAGGGGAGCCUGGAGAAGGAGAGAAGGAUGGAUGAGGAGAAGGUGGAGGGAAGGAGGUUGGUUUCCUCCUUCAACUCCUUGAUCAAUGAGGAUAAUUGUCUCAGAUUGGCGCUCACUAGUCAGGAUUUCAACUACAUUUCUGUUAAAUUUAUCGAUCAUCUUCUUACCAUUGGUGUGCUUCACUCGUUACAAAACUUUACUCACUUUAAGGAAGAGGGAGUAUACUGUUGGAAUAAAGGUAAUCCUAAAAAGGGAGGAUGGAGAUCCAGCUUAGGACAAGAAUCUGAGGAAAUAACAAGGUCUGGAGCUAAAUAUACAGAAGCAGAACAUCAACAAGCUCUGAUGGGUCUGAAAAGAGAAAAUAGAGAAAGUCUUGAACAAAUGAGGAAAGAACAAGAUGAAGCAAUUUUCAAGGUAAGAGGUGAGCAAGCAGAAAGCAUGGUUUACUACAUGGAGAAAAUUCAAGAGCUUGAAACAGAGAUUGGUAGGCUUAGAAGUCUCAGGUCAUCUGAUAAACUUGACAAGAAGGAUAGUUUAGCUAAAGAAACUGACAAGGAUGUAAAGAAGGACACUAAGCCACCUCUUACAAACUCUGCUGGUAAAGUAAAGGAACUUGUCAGUAGAGAGAAGGAAGAUUUGGAUGAGAUCAUUCUGACUAAGACAAGGCUUGAGAAGGGAAUUCAAGUUGAUCUAGAUGAGAGGCCUCCUCCCCCUAGUCCUGUGAAAACUGUAAGUAAGGGAAUUCAGGUUUCUCUUGAGAGCCCUGCAACUCCUCCCUUUGCCACACCCAUGGAGGAGAACAGAUCUAUUGUUUCUCCUGGUAAAAGUCCUCCUGCAUAUAGAAACCCUCCACCCCCUCCUCCACCUAUGCCUGGAAUGUCCGCACCACCACCACCUCCACCUAUGCCAGGAAUGCCAUCACCACCACCACCUCCACCUAUGCCAGGAAUGCCAGCACCACCACCUCCAAUGCAAGGAAUGGCUGGCCCGCCUCCUCCACCACCUAUGCCUGGUAUGGUAGGGCCACCCCCUCCUCCACUGAUGCCAGGAAUGGCUGGUCCUCCCCCUCCCCCGCCAAUGCCAGGGAUGGGGGGACCACCUCCCCCUCCUCCGAUGCCUGGCAUGGGAGGACCACCCCCUCCUCCAAUGCCUGGUAUGGGAGGACCACCUUCACCCCCUCCCUUUCCUGGAAUUGGUGGGCCACCACCUCCUCCUAUGAUGCCUGGAAUGGGGGGGCCACCACCUCCUCCUAUGAUGCCUGGAAUGGGGGGGCCACCACCACCACCUAUGAUGCCGGGAAUGGGUGGACCCCCACCUCCUCCAAUGUUUGGAAUGGGCCCACCUGUUCCAGUUAAAGUGGGACCAAGGAAGCCAGAGAUAAAGCCGAAAUCCCAGAUGAAACCUUUGUACUGGACUAGAAUCCAGAUGACAGCAAAUCAGUAUCCUGCCCCUUCAACACCAAACACAAAGAUAUUAUGGGAAGAAUUGAAAGAAGUUGAGAUGGAAAUGGAAGAUUUUGAUGAUUUGUUCUCUAAAGCAACAGUGAAACCUAGAGAAAAGAAGGAAACGAUCGUUGAAGAAAAACCAAGUAAGGCAAAGCCUAAAACUAUGCUGGAUUCUAAAAGAACCCAGAAUCUAGGAAUUCUUAUCAAAUCGAAAGGUCUGGAGAUAAGUCAGAUUGAAGAUGCUGUUUACAAUUGUGAGUCUAAUAUACCUCUUGAUGUUCUGGAGGCUAUCAAGGAAGCUCAGGGAACUAAAGAGGAGUUAGAGGCUAUUAAAGGCUAUCUUGAGUCGGGAGACGAAGCUCCUCUAGAUAAACCUGAUAGGUUUUUACUGGAUCUAGAUGGAAUAUCUUUCUUUGCAGAUCGACUGACUUGUCUCACCUUUCAAUCUAAAUUUGUUGACAGUAUAUCUGAUAUAGAGAACCGCCUGAAUAAUAUCAAGUCAGUCUGUGAAUUUCUGAUGCAUAAUGAAUAUUUGCAGCAAAUGCUUGGAGUUAUUCUUGCUUGUGGAAACUAUUUAAAUGGCGGCAAUAAGCAGAGAGGUCAGGCGGAUGGUUUUAACAUUGAUAUUCUUCCAAAACUCAAGGAUCUGAAGAGUAAAGAUAACUCCACCAAUCUUCUAGCCUACAUCAUACAGACCUGUAUAUCUAGGUUUGAUGAGAAGAAAGGAACACCAGAGGCUAUUUUACCAGUUCCUGAGCCCAGUGAUGUAGAAAAAUGUAUCCAUAUAGAUUUUGAAGCUCAAAGGGCAGAGACGGAAAAAAUUAGAAAGGAGUUGGAUAUGGUUCUUCAUAAAACAGAUCAGAUUGUUGAGAAGAGUAAAGAAGAGUUGAAGGAACCUUUCAAAACCAAGAUGACCGAGUUUUUAACUAAAGCAGAGAAAGAUAUGAUUGAUCUUGUGGAACUUCUGGAAGAAGUCAUUAAACAGUUCAGAGAAUGUAUGAUCUUCUUCAAAUUCAUGCCUAAAAAGGGUAAACUGGAAGAUGCCAAGCCGGAGGAUUUUUUCGUGAUUUGGUUUCCCUUCACAGAGGAUUGUAAAAAUCUUUGGAAGAAAGAACAGAUACGCGUGACGAAGGAAUUGAUCAAGAUGGCCAGAAAGAAACAUUUGGAACAUAAAGAGAGUUUAAUGAACCUAGAAACUAAGAAAACGGCUACUGGAGGUCUAAAGACUAAACUUCAGGCAAGAAAGUCUCGAAGAUCAAUGGCUUCACCCAGGCCUACUGAAGAGAAGGAUAUGGGGUCUGAUGACUUCAUGAAUUAAAAAAGUUCGCUCAAAUCCGAGUUUUCGCGCAUUUAUUCAAAUUUUUGUAUUUUAGCAGCAUUUAACUAGUUAACAAGAAUACUCGUUCAUUAUACUUACUCAAUGUUUUAAAACUUUUUAAAGUUUUAAAUUAUGUUAAAGACAUUCUCAGAUAAAUAGAUUUUUAUUUUCGACAAUUUUGGCCAUCUCCAACUCGCAUCCCCCACCCCCUUGGCUAUAGUUUAACACGGAAAAAGGGUCAUAAGUCCCUAUUUUUGACCUUUAGUCCUGGCUUGUCCCUCAGUUUUUUUAUUUUUCAACCCUAAUAUUGUUUCAGUCCAUUGCUCUUUUCACAUUUAAUAAGAAUAAGCAAAUUGGCAUAUAUAUUCGCACAAUAAUGAUAUAGCAUGCACCAAACAGAUUGCACAAGGAAUUUUUGUCUGUCCCUUCCGCACAUUUUUGAAUGAAGUGAAAGUAAAGUGUUGUCAGUAAUCCUAAUUUAUAUUGUAUCUAACAGGGAUGUAUAUUUUCUCAAUGAUUCCCCCCCUCUCCCCCGAAAAAUGAAACUUUGGGGGGAGGGGAAUGAAUUUUAGCUUAAUUGUCAAAAGUACGUUAUUUCUGGCUGAAAAUAGAAAUUAUUGAAAAAAUCAUAAGAAGGGGUUAAAACUUGCCAGUCUAUUUUUCUUAUUUCGUUUUUCACCCCUAGUAGUUAUGCAAUGUUUUCCCCAGUGCAGUGUAGGGAAGGGGGGAGGGUAAUUUUUUCAAAUCUCUAUCCUCGUACUAAAAUUUAUCUAUCUCGCCCCUAACCAGUAACCAGUGCCUUAUGUAUAAUCAGAAUUUUCAAAAACAUUCCUUGAUAUUUUAUCAAUUCCUUUUAUAAUUGUGAUAUUUGAACCAAAUUUUAUCCUGGAUAUUACCUUAUUAUAUAUUAACUUAAUUAUAUUCUACGCGUUAACUUAAAUCAAUAAAAAUUAUGCUUCA